UACGUAGGGUGCGAGCGUUAAUCGGAAUUACUGGGCGUAAAGCGUGCGUAGGCGGUUCUCCAAGUCCGUUGUGAAAGCCCCGGGCUCAACCUGGGAAUGGCAGUGGAAACUAGGGGACUGGAAUCUGGCAGAGGGGGGUGGAAUGCCGCGUGUAGCAGUGAAAUGCGUAGAGAUGCGGAGGAACACCGAUGGCGAAGGCAGCCCCCUGGGCUGACACUGACGCUCAGGCACGAAAGCGUGGGGAGCGAACAGG
rnacentral:rRNA from 1 species